CCCUUAUUCAGAGUGAUGGAGACAGAGAGGGUCUAUGAAGUCACGGCAACCCCGUCUAAGCGCGAGCGCGUGAGGGGCGGAAGGUGCCAGCCUGAGCGAGGACAUAGGGCGUUUGCCCUACAAAUCGAGCAAUAAGAG
rnacentral:ncRNA from 2 species